rnacentral:piRNA from 1 species
UGGGUAAAAGCCUGUAAGCCUAAGAG